ACAAUACAAUGGAUCAUGGUAUAAUGUACAUUCUGAUUCUAUGUUAUAUUAUUAUUACUAUUAUAUGUAUACAGUUCACAAUUCAUUAGAAUAAAACAGAAUACAUCAAGAAAAUCUCUAGAAGCAAAUGUGUAUUUAUUAUUUAUCAAUUUUUUUAGGCAUUGGAAAAAAAGGUUUUCUAUCUUUUGGCCUAAUUAUUAUUAGAAUAAUACUCUCAACUAAUGUUUAUAAAUACAAUUCAUCGAAGAACAAACAAUAAAAUUAUAUUGUCUACUUACAUCUGAGGCUCAUUAACUUCAAGUACUGGAG